rnacentral:rRNA from 1 species
AGUACGGCCGCAAGGUUAAAACUCAAAUGAAUUGACGGGGGCCCGCACAAGCGGUGGAGCAUGUGGUUUAAUUCGAUGCAACGCGAAGAACCUUACCUGGUCUUGACAUCCACGGAAGUUUUCAGAGAUGAGAAUGUGCCUUCGGGAGCCGUGAGACAGGUGCUGCAUGGCUGUCGUCAGCUCGUGUUGUGAAAUGUUGGGUUAAGUCCCGCAACGAGCGCAACCCUUAUCCUUUGUUGCCAGCGGUCCGGCCGGGAACUCAAAGGAGACUGCCAGUGAUAAACUGGAGGAAGGUGGGGAUGACGUCAAGUCAUCAUGGCCCUUACGACCAGGGCUACACACGUGCUACAAUGGCGCAUACAAAGAGAAGCGACCUCGCGAGAGCAAGCGGACCUCAUAAAGUGCGUCGUAGUCCGGACUGGAGUCUGCAACUCGACUCCAUGAAGUCGGAAUCGCUAGUAAUCGUGGAUCAGAAUGCCACGGUGAAUACGUUCCCGGGCCUUGUACACACCGCCCGUCACACCAUGGGAGUGGGUUGCAAAAGAAGUAGGUAGCUUAACCUUCGGGAGGGCGCUUACCACUUUGUGAUUCAUGACUGGGGUGAAGUCGUAACAAGGUAACCGUAGGGGAACCUGCGGUUGGA